UUUCCAUAGGUGAACCUGCGGAAGAAUCAUUGUAGAGUUCCUUUUCAAGCAGAUGUGAAGUUGUACCAAUACCCAUUGAGAGCUAAUCGUUUUUGCUGUCAGCACUUGCAUUGUUUAGAUGGGUUCCCUUUGCUACCUUCAUCUUUGCUUCAUUUCAAGUGAGAAGUAGAGUAGAAAUAAAAGACCGGCAUAGUUUGGGCCAAGGAUAACUAUUGUUUGAGUACAUUGCCAUCUUUUUGAUGUCUUUGUGUUACUCUACGAGCGUAUACGUCUGAAUGACUCCAGGCAAUGGAUAUCUUGGCUCUC
rnacentral:misc_RNA from 1 species